GCCCCUCCUGCUGGCCGGGCCCUUUAGGGGCGGCCCUCCCACAGGGCAGCCUCCCCUGGCUCUGGGGAUGGUGGGGGGUGAGUGGGGCUGGCUCUGAGCACCCCAGUUGCUCACUGCACCACACGCUGUUUGGGUGUUCAGUGAGAAGCUCACCUCAGCGACACGGCCUGCCUCAGAGCUGCAACCUGGGACCCCGAAGGCUGUGGUGGUGCUCAGCGCUGAUGAAGCACCUGCCUGCUGGAUGACUUGCUCCGCUGGAAACCACCAGCUCAGCAAUAACAAAAAUAUCAUUACACUCUGAUUUCCCUUUGUAAUGCUAAAUCAGAGACUACGAAGGAUGGCAAGAGGCACUUACUGAGGUAAAAUAACGAGGAAUUCUUGGGUAAGAGGCAAAAUACAUGGAAUACCUUUUCUGCAGGCACCCAACCCCCUCCAGGAAGAUUAUAGGGUGGCCUUGACAAGGGUUCUUGAGUCUAGCAAACCCAAGUCAGAUCACUACAGGAAGAUAUAAGGAGAGAAUCAACUGAACUCCAAUUAAAUGAUUCAGAGCACUUACUUGUUGCUUCCCCAAGCAGAAAAGCUACCACAGCUGCUGCUCCUGUCCUGCAGAGAUGGCCAGAAGAAGAACUGUGUCUGGGCUCAGAUGGAAUGAACUGUAUCCCCAGGGAAGAAGUGAGAGCAAACUGUGGAAAGUCUGUGGUUUUAUCUACAUGUAUAUUAAGAGACUAUCAGGCCUGGAUUUCUCUCUUACCCUAUCAGUUCUCCACCAUGCUUUUUGUCACAGAUACUGACUGAUAUGGCUUGAUAUGGCACAGAUAUGGCUUGUCUGGCAUUAUUUAAUUUCUUCUAAAAAUGCUUAUUUUGUCCAAAGCAAAUUCCCUAUCAACACACCUUUCUAAAUUUUUCCUUUAAAUAAUAAGACAGAAGGAAGAACAGAAAGGUAUUUUAAUAAACUCAUCAGACUUCUUCUACAGUAUGGAAAAGUAUUUUUAAAAUUAAUCUUUUUGCAAUACAAUUGUUCAAGGAAAGGUAUUUCUACAAAAUAUUUUAAAAUUUCAAAUGAACAAGCAAUUGA